rnacentral:rRNA from 1 species
ACUCCUACGGGAGGCAGCAGUAGGGAAUCUUCCACAAUGGACGAAAGUCUGAUGGAGCAACGCCGCGUGAGUGAAGAAGGGUUUCGGCUCGUAAAACUCUGUUGUUAAAGAAGAACAUAUCUGAGAGUAACUGUUCAGGUAUUGACGGUAUUUAACCAGAAAGCCACGGCUAACUACGUGCCAGCAGCCGCGGUAAUACGUAGGUGGCAAGCGUUGUCCGGAUUUAUUGGGCGUAAAGCGAGCGCAGGCGGUUUUUAAGUCUGAUGUGAAAGCCUUCGGCUCAACCGAAGAAGUGCAUCGGAAACUGGGAAACUUGAGUGCAGAAGAGGACAGUGGAACUCCAUGUGUAGCGGUGAAAUGCGUAGAUAUAUGGAAGAACACCAGUGGCGAAGGCGGCUGUCUGGUCUGUAACUGACGCUGAGGCUCGAAAGUAUGGGCAGCAAACAGGAUUAGAUACCCUGGUAGGAUAGCG